AGUGGAUGCGUAUUGGGAGAAUCUCCGAGGCUUCUCGGCUCUUCCAUAGAUCUACUGGUUGUCAACCACUCUCUCUCUCUUUCUCUGUCUUUUCUGUUCCUUCCCUCUCUGUCAGCUAAACCCAUAUUCUUUCAAUUUGCCUCUCGAAGCACUCAACGGAAAUUCAUUCUGCAUAUCCGCAAUCGAUAAUGACUCAUAUCCUUUGCUGAUGAUCACGAACGCGGUAACCAGAGAGAGCGAGACCGUGAAAGAGCACAAGCUAGGGCUGGCCAGAAGCCCAAGAAUCCCAAAGACGACGGUUUGACCCCUGAGCAACGCCGUGAACGGGACGCAAAGGCCUUACAGGAGAAGCUGGCGAGGAAGGCUGCCCAGGAAGGAGGUAAAAACAAUAGUCAUAAGAAGUAAUAGGUGGGGUGAUGAUAAGAGAGAUGGGGAUUGUUUGUAUUGGAUUUGGAUCUGGUGUUUGUGGGGAGUCAAAGUCAUGUUUGUGUCAUUUUGAGAUUCGACAAACAAUAAGGUGUUUUGCUUAAAGGGAAAGGGCAUUGAUGUUGGCUUCUGAACAUUGGAUUUAUGUCUCUUACUGAUUUGGAA